rnacentral:rRNA from 1 species
AGAGUUUGAUCCUGGCUCAGGAUGAACGCUGGCGGCGUGCUUAACACAUGCAGGUCGAACGAAGCAUCUUAAGCUGAUUUCUUCGGAAUGAAGUUUUUGAUGACUGAGUGGCGGACGGGUGAGUAACGCGUGGGUAACCUGCCUCAUACAGGGGGAUAACAGUUAGAAAUGGCUGCUAAUACCGCAUAAGCGCACAGUGUCACAUGACACAGUGUGAAAAACUCCGGUGGUAUGAGAUGGACCCGCGUCUGAUUAGCUAGUUGGUGAGAUAACAGCUCACCAAGGCGACGAUCAGUAGCCGACCUGAGAGGGUGAUCGGCCACAUUGGGACUGAGACACGGCCCAAACUCCUACGGGAGGCAGCAGUGGGGAAUAUUGCACAAUGGGCGAAAGCCUGAUGCAGCAACGCCGCGUGAAGGAAGAAGGGUUUCGGCUCGUAAACUUCUAUCAAUGGGGAAGAAACAAAUGACGGUACCCAAAUAAGAAGCCCCGGCUAACUACGUGCCAGCAGCCGCGGUAAUACGUAGGGGGCAAGCGUUAUCCGGAAUUACUGGGUGUAAAGGGAGCGUAGGCGGCAUGGUAAGCCAGAUGUGAAAGCCCGAAGCUUAACUUCGAGGAUUGCAUUUGGAACUAUCAAGCUAGAGUACAGGAGAGGUAAGUGGAAUUCCUAGUGUAGCGGUGAAAUGCGUAGAUAUUGGGAAGAACACCAGUGGCGAAGGCGGCUUUCUGGACUGAAACUGACGCUGAGGCACGAAAGCGUGGGGAGCGAACAGGAUUAGAUACCCUGGUAGUCCACGCCGUAAACGAUGAGUGCUAGGUGUCGGAGGGGAACCUUCGGUGCCGCAGCAAACGCAAUAAGCACUCCACCUGGGGAGUACGAUCGCAAGAUUGAAACCAAAGGAAUUGACGG